GCAAAAGUUGCUGAUGUGAAUUAUAGUACGGUUUUAACAUAGAUCACAAAAGUUUUUUUUUCUUCAUGCGUCUGGUACCUAGUCUUCUUUGUGGCGCUAAUGACACUGAUGCCUUCACUUGUAUAUAUUGUCAAACCGAAUAACCUCUGAAACAUCCAAUAACAUGAGAAGUGUUGGAAAAGGAUUUACAUUACUCCGGGCAAUGGUGUUGUUUUACUUGUUGAUUAUCUCAAGUUCACCCGAAUACAUUCCGCCUCCAUCCUCUGUAACAAUAGUUCCAAUAUUUAUUUUAGCCAACAAAUAAAAUAUUAGAAAACCCGGAUAUCAUAAUGAAAAUAUAAAAUAAUCAUUUAAGUUUGGAGUCAAAACACAUGUCAUUUAAAUCUUAAAAGUCAAAAGUGGAGUUUGAUUUCACGAUGGAAGGAGUAGUUUAGUUAUACAUUCAUGCCUGAAACCUCUAAAAAGGUUUUCAUAACAAAACUAAGUGUUGAACACAUACCACUGUACCAGUGAAAAUUCAAAAUAGCAAAGUAAAUCAAGAGCUGUCAUAGUAGUGUUCCAUUACUGAAUAUUUUUAGUUUUGAAAGUCAAAGAUGAACUUGUUAUAUUCGAAUUCAUACUCCCAUAUGAAAUAAUAAACCCCUUACAUCCUAACUCAAUUCAUCAAUAUAUCGUGCCUUUUGAUGCAAAUGUCUUCAUGUCAAGUAAACAUUGUUAUAUAUAUAGAUAUGAAUUAGGAUCAAAUACAAAGGAUCCGAAUAGUAAGAAGUCCUUUGUAGAAUAACUUGACCCAUAUAGAUACAUAAGAAAUCUGUUUUGACUCUCAAACAUGUAAACUUGACAUUGGGAUAAUGAUGUAAACUGUGCUACCAGUUAUGGUAGUUGUACUACAAAAAUGAAAAUGAGAACGUGAUUGAUGAAUUGAAUGUACCUGAUCACCAGAGAAUCUAUCAGAAUAAGAAGACAUGGAUUCGCCCGAGCUUUCAUCAAUGGGGCUUUUCUCCAAUGACUUCUUCGGCCGCAGCCAACUUAUGUGAUCCAUUGUUUUCGAAAACAGAUUGAUAAACAAAUACUAAUACCCACACACACUCACCACCCCCACACUUCAACAACAAUCCCAUCAAUCUUAAUCAUUUAAACCUAAACUUCAUAACUUCAAGUGUCAAAACUAAAUUAUAAUCACACAUAAGCAAGUCAUCAGAUAUGAAUUGCUUCUAAAUUGGAUCAGUUUGUGAGGAUGAAAAAAAUAUUUUAGUACUUUAUUGAAUAAACUCUUUCUUAACAUAUUUGAUUGGGUUUAGGUUCAGGAAAUCUGGCGUUUGCUGAAUCACAACACCCCAACGACUGCCAAUUGUAGUCAUUAAAGUUAUAUGAAACCAUUUUUUCCAUUUUCUACCAAUUCGUUUAUACGGAUGAUUCACUCACUUUAAUGAGGUUGGUUACUGAACCGGAACUCGUUUUGGUUUGUUAAUGACUUGUAGUUGACGGCUCAGAAUCAGUAUUGAGGUUCUGAUGGCUGCAUAACAGGUUGCUAGUAGCUCGCCAUCCUUGCUAUGCAACAUCAUACCUAUUUUUUUUUACCAAAGUCAUCAUAGCCGGCAAACGAACUUGGGAUGUAACGGCCGCAUAUAACUUUCAGUUCCAUAUACCUUUAAUUCCAACAUGUCCGGUAAAUAUAACUGGGUUGAUAAUGGCUGCAACGGGUGUUGCAAAAACAACGACUAACUUACAAACAGUCCCCAUUUUGGUUACCAGAUCGAAGUCAGUCCCAACGGAACCACAUUAAAUGGGUUUAGACUCAUGUAUUUAAAUAGGGAUAGACUUGAUUGUUUUCAAUCUAUUUGCCGGUAUAGAACCAUAAUCCCAAUUUCAUUUCCCAAAUUCGAACAGUAAUCCAACAGAGCCAAACACAAGUCAC
rnacentral:lncRNA from 1 species